CUGUAAAUGACUUUGUUAUUCUCAGUAGUAAAAUCAUCCACAACUACUUUGAAGGACUUAUGGUGAAAAAUUCUACCAAUAACUAGAGAAAGAAUUGAUCUAUAUUAUACAUACAGAUAGAUGCAUGUUCUAUUUCUCUCUUUAUCUCUCUAUUUUUAACAUAUUUUUUUUUUCUUAAGACUAUUUUAUUAGGGUGGAAAAUUUGUUUUUUUUUCCACAGCUUGAUUUUUAUAGAAAUGUUUUUCAUAACCUCACAUAUAGAUUCUUUUUUAUUGACAAAACAUAUGUAUGGGUAAUUUUUCAACAUUGACCCUUGCAAAAACUUCUGUUCCAACAUUUCCCCUCCUUCCCUCCACCCCCUUCCCUAGAUGGCAGGUAGUCCCAUAUACACUAUGUUAAAGUAAAUGUUAAAUACAAUAUAUGUAAACAUAUUAAUACAGUUGUCUUAAUAUUAUUCUAUAGAACUGUAUAAUCUGGGAAUCCAUUUGAACUUCCUGACAGGGGAAAAGAGUAAAUUACAUCACUGGGAAUGUCCAGAUAUGAAAUGGAGUAGGGGAGAGACAGUGAUGUCAGCAAUCAAACAGCAAUUUAAUUUAAUUAAUUUCAGAUCCAGGAAUGCUGUUUGCAGAUCUGAAGUUUUCUUACUGCUACAGUAAAGGUUAUGUGUGUACAUUCAUUUUAAAAAUAUUUCCCUAUGAACCAUAUUGGAAGAGAAAAAUAAGAACAAAAGGGAAAACCAUAAGAAAAAAAUAAGAAGAAUGAACAAAAGAUGAAAAUUGUAUAUGUAGAAUCACAUUCAGUCUCUAAAGGGCUUUCUCUGAAUGCUGAUGGCAUUUUCCAUCCAAAGAUUAUUGGAAUCCUCUUAGGUCACAAUGUCUGAGAAGAGCCAGCUUUAUCAUAUUUGAAUAUCUUACCAUCUUAUUGCUUGUACAAUGUUUUCCUGGUCCUGUUUGCUUCACUCAGCAUCAGUUAAUGCAAAUAGAUAUUUGCAGGCUUUUCUAAAAUCAGCCCAUUCAUCAUUUUUAUAGAACGAUAAUAUUUGAUUACUUUCGUAUGCUAUAACUUAUUCAGUCACUUCCCAAUUUAUGGGUAUCUACUUAUUUUCCAAUUUUUUGCCACUUCAAAGAAGAGCUCUACAAACAAUUUUGCACAUGUGGGUAAUUUCCCUCUUAUGAUUUCUUGGGAUAUAAAUCCAGCAGUGCCACUGCUGGAUCAAAGAUUAUGCAGAAUUUUACAGCUCUUUGGGGAGAGUUAAAAAUUGUUCUCCAGAAUGGAUGAAUCUAUUCAUAACUCUAUCAAUAAUAUAUUAGUAUCUCACUUUUCCCACAACCUCCAACAUUUAUCAUUAUCUUUUCCUGUUAUCUUAGUCAAUUUGGUGUGAGGUGGUACCUCAGAGUUGUUUUAAUUUUCAUUUCUCUAAUAGUGAUUUAGAACAUAUUUUCAUAUGACUAUAGAUGGCUUUAGUUUCAUCAUUUGAAAAUUGUUCAUAUAAUUAUCAACUGGGGAAAGAUUUGUAUUCUCAUAUAUUUGAGUCAAUUCUCUAUAUAUUUUAAAAAUUGAAAUAUACUCAUUAUUUCAAUUACAUUUUUUGUUGAGUCUUUGGAAUCUCCCAAGUAUGUUCUCAUAUUUUUUGCAAAAAAGAGAUCUUAUUACCUUGGUUUUUUUUUCAUCUUAUUGCUAUUGUUAGGAUUUGAAAAACAUUUUGAAUAAUAUAGAUGAGAGUGGGCAUUCUUGUUCUACAUUCAACUCUUUAGGUUAUACUCAUUGCAAAUAAUGCUGAUGAUAUGAUAAACGCUGUUUUUCAGUUUUGAGAAAAUUCCAUUUUUAUCAAUACUUUCAUGUAUUUUUAUGCAAAUGAAUGGUUUACUUCAUCAAAAGCUUUUUCUGCAUCUAUUGAUUUAUGA
ensembl:lncRNA